rnacentral:rRNA from 1 species
UCGCGAAACCUUUGCAAUACACGAAAGUGUGACAGGGCUAUCCCGAGUGCCAUCCGCUGAGGAAGGCUUUUACCCAGUCUAGAACGCUGGGGGAAUAAGGAGAGGGCAAGUCUGGUGUCAGCCGCCGCGGUAAUACCAGCUCUCCGAGUGGUGUGGAUGUUUAUUGGGCCUAAAGCAUCCGUAGCUGGCUAGGUAAGUCCCUUGUUAAAUCCACCGAAUUAAUCGUUGGAUCGCGGGGGAUACUGCUUGGCUAGGGGACGAGAGAGGCAGACGGUAUUUUCGGGGUAGGGGUGAAAUCCUAUAAUCCCGGGAAGACCACCAGUGGCGAAGGCUGUCUGCUAGAACGCGCCCGACGGUGAGGGAUGAAAGCUGGGGGAGCGAACC